UACAGAGGUCUCAAGCGUUGUUCGGAUUCAUUGGGCGUAAAGGGUGCGUAGGCGGCGCGGUAAGUCGGGUGUGAAAUCUCGGAGCUUAACUUCGAAACUGCAUUCGAUACUGCCGUGCUUGAGGACUGGAGAGGAGACUGGAAUUUACGGUGUAGCGGUGAAAUGCGUAGAUAUCGUAAGGAAGACCAGUGGCGAAAGGCGGGUCUCUGGACAGUUCCUGACGCUGAGGCACGAAGGCCAGGGGAGCAAAACGGG
rnacentral:rRNA from 1 species